rnacentral:lncRNA from 1 species
CCCCACCCCCUCUCCUUUUUCUUGUCCAAAAAAAAAGGACACAAUAUAUACCUACCCACAUACACAAAAACAGAAAAGGAGAGGAACCCAAAAACAAGAAAAAAAAACAUCAACAUUUUUCUCUUCUCUCUAGACUCACACUCUCUCUCUAAUAAACGUCGCCGGCGACCGACCGGAGCUCCGGCCACCACAACACCAUCAUCUUUCCCCCUCUCUACCAUCUCUUCUCCGCAAAACUAAAAAGAAAAAAAAAAUCAGCCGCCGCCGUCCUCCGCGUCACCGUCAGCCGCCGCCGUCCUCAGCGUCAUCUUCAGCCGCCGCCGCCCUCCACAUCAUCGUCAGCGGCAGCGCCGGCGUUGGUGCCAGUACCGCUCCGCGUCGGCCAGAUCUGCCGCGGCUCGUCACCGGUGACAACACCGUUCGCCGACCGAGAAUCAACCAGCUCCGGCCGCAGCUCAUCACCGCUCAGAUCUCCACCGCCGUCACAAUCAGACCCGCCGGCUCACGACCAAACCUGUCAGAUCUCCGCCACCAUCCGAUAACACCGUCAACACCAACCCCGAACGGCAGACCAUCAUAACCGGUCAACUGCCGCCGUUCUCUCCGUUACCGGAGCUCGAUCUGCGUUGGUUUUUGGUUUCCUGUUGUCUUUGGUUGAUUUUGGUUUCGUCUAUUUCAUGUUUCGACGUCGAUAGUGGGUUUCGAGUCGCCUUUAUUGAAUCUCGUCGUCGUUCUUGGUUGGGUUUUGUAUAGUAAAGUUUUAUUCAUGGGUUUGGAGCUGUCCGGCUAUUAUUUUAAUACCGAGUUUGGUUUGCUCGUUGUGAGAUUCUCCGAUCGGGUAUUUUGGUCUUCGGAUUUCUUUAUUAUCGACAAAAGCAAGUGUCAGUGAGGUCCAUUUCUUUAACCCGCUCUCUUUUAUUUAUCUUGGUAUAUUGAAUUGGUUGUGAUUAUGUGUGUUGUGAUUAUGUUUUGUUGGACUUUGUUGAUGUCGAUUGUUAUGAUCAUGAUGUUUGGAGGGUCGAUUUUUGGUGGUUUGAAGAUUGAAUUUGAUCAUGAUUUAAUAGAUUGAUAAGGGGAUUUAGGGAAGGAAUGGAGAAAUUGAUAAAAAGUUGAACGUAGAUUGAUGUUGGUUUGUUGUCUUUUGUCCCAUUCGGUAUAAGUGAAUGUGAUAGAUUUAUGCCAUAAUGAAAUGGAUAGGCAAUAUAGGUUCGGGUAGGCAAGAAUUUAAGAUUGAUGUUUUGGUUGGAUGUUGGAAUAUGCGUGUGAAUGUUUCUUUCUAGUUUAUCGUAUUUAAUUCAAUUGUAUAAUUUGGCUGGGGAAUGCCCCGAAGUAUCCGUAUAUAUUUAUUCAUCGGGGAAUGCCCCGAGGUAUCAUGUACCCGGAGGACGUUCGUGGUGAAGGUCCGAGGCGUUGGGUAGAGCAUUAGUUUAGGAUUAGCGUAGGUUUACUUUCAGUCCCUUUCUAUUUCGGGUUGUAAUAAUUGGACUGGACUUUACAUUUCGAUUUGUUUUGUUUUGUUUUGUUUGAUUGUUUUGCGUGCUUUUUUUGUGGUUUAUACAUUUCGUAAUGUCAAAAAAAUAGUCGAUACACUUUACCAAGAGACCGUGGUUGAACCACGGGAUCUAGGGGUGCCUAACACCUUUUCCUCGGUCAACAGAAUUUUUUAGCCGGAAUCUCUGUUCGCAAACCGGUUUAAGAGUCAAAUGGUUUCGAAAAGGAUUUUUUAAAGGUAACUUAGCACAUCGGAUUAUGCCAAGUGGCGAUUCUGAAAAAAAAUGCAAAUAAUCUUUUUUUUCGAAAUAAAUUUUCAUUUCUUGUCACUUAAAAUAAUAAAACCCUUUCGAACUUUAAAAUAUAUCCAUUUUUUGGAGUAUGCGUAAAAAAGUUGUGUGACAGCUUCUGGCGACUCUGUUGGGGACAUAAGUUUUCAAAAUUCGAGCUAUUUUUGGAGUCGUAUUGGCUUUGUUUGGCAUUACGAGUGUAUAAACAUUGUUACUGGUUAUUGUUUGUGUUAUUCACUUUUUGUGCUUUUUCGUGCUCUUUGUUUAUAUUAUUUAUCCUAUGUGUUACCGUUUUAUAUCUGUCAUCAUGAGUCCACCCCCCGGCCUUCUUUCUGCAACAAGUCCGUAGUACACGUGUUGUACACAACCUCUAGUUGAGUCACCCUUAUUUUAGGGGGGGAGCCGUCGGUGUUAUGGAGUAGGUGGAAAGCAAAGUAGCCACUAUCGACCAUACGCUCCCCCGAUCAGCCUUGUUAGUAAACCACAACGUAGGUCAGCCUUUAGAUCAUGCUUACGUGCAUCAUGCGGAGACCUAGCGGGAUCCACAUGGCCCUUUAUAGGAGACUCCCCUUUAAAGCAUCCCUACGUGCUAACUGUUGCAUUAUUAAGGGUAACGUGGUCAUUUGACGGACUGAUUUUUGAAAAUAAUAAUAAUAAUAAUAAUAAUAAUAAAUUAAUUUGUUAGGAGUAAGGGGUGUAGGCAAAAAUGAAAAAGAAAAAAAAAUAUAGAAAAAGUGAGUCAAAAAAAAAAAAAGAGGAGGGUCGUAGUUUAUUUUAGAAUUCGUUAUGGCUUUUGUUUUGCACAAUCCAAAAAUUCAAAAAAGAUUAUUUUUACGUUUUGUAAAGUACCGUAAGUUCAAAAAAAAAAAGAGAAAGAGAGAGAAAAAUUUUUGUUUAUCUUUUCUACUUAUUUGUCAAAAACAAAAAUGUCAAAAAGAUUUUUUUGUAUAAUUGGUGGUGUCAGUCUUGGUCAAAGCGUCUAGCCAAAAAAAAAAGAGUUUUUUUUUUGUUUUGGUAGUAAGUUAGGGUCAAUUUAUUUGUUAAUCGUUAAUUGUCCAAUCUGAAUGAACUACGCAUACCUGAUUCCCUUCCCUCGGGUUGGGAUACGUAGGCAACCCUCGGUGGGUCCGGUAAUUUUUUGUGUCGGCCUUUGUCUUAGUAUUAGUCUAGGUCUCGUCUCGUAAUCUAGAGUUGUUUGCCAAGUAGACUGAUUUCGUUCAGUACCUCUGUUCGGCAAUUUGGAGUCAUGAAUGUGGUCUGUCCCAUCGACAUAUGUUGGCGUCAAAAAUCCCAAGGGUUGGGAAUCUUCCACUCCUGUUGAAUUUUUGAGGUAACGUCUUGUGUGUUAUUACAGGAUGGAUUUGUCCACCAAGUCUAGAGUAGGUGCCCAAAAGGUUAAUCAAAUGGUGGAAAAUGUUUAACUAUGUUGAUCAGCAGAAACUNNNN